rnacentral:rRNA from 1 species
AUUGAACGCUGGCGGCAGGCCUAACACAUGCAAGUCGAACGGUAACAGGAAACAGCUUGCUGUUUCGCUGACGAGUGGCGGACGGGUGAGUAAUGUCUGGGAAACUGCCUGAUGGAGGGGGAUAACUACUGGAAACGGUAGCUAAUACCGCAUAACGUCGCAAGACCAAAGAGGGGGACCUUCGGGCCUCUUGCCAUCGGAUGUGCCCAGAUGGGAUUAGCUUGUUGGUGGGGUAACGGCUUACCAAGGCGACGAUCCCUAGCUGGUCUGAGAGGAUGACCAGCCACACUGGAACUGAGACACGGUCCAGACUCCUACGGGAGGCAGCAGUGGGGAAUAUUGCACAAUGGGCGCAAGCCUGAUGCAGCCAUGCCGCGUGUAUGAAGAAGGCCUUCGGGUUGUAAAGUACUUUCAGCGGGGAGGAAGGGAGUAAAGUUAAUACCUUUGCUCAUUGACGUUACCCGCAGAAGAAGCACCGGCUAACUCCGUG